AUUGAACGCUGGCGGCGUGCUUAACACAUGCAAGUCGAACGGUGAACGAGGGAGCUUGCUCCCUCCGGAUCAGUGGCGAACGGGUGAGUGACACGUGAGCAAUCUGCCCUGGACUCUGGGAUAAGCGUUGGAAACGACGUCUAAUACCGGAUACGAGGCGUGGGGGCAUCCCCAACGCCUGGAAAGAACUUCGGUCCAGGAUGAGCUCGCGGCCUAUCAGCUAGUUGGUGAGGUAACGGCUCACCAAGGCGACGACGGGUAGCCGGCCUGAGAGGGUGACCGGCCACACUGGGACUGAGACACGGCCCAGACUCCUACGGGAGGCAGCAGUGGGGAAUAUUGCACAAUGGGCGCAAGCCUGAUGCAGCAACGCCGCGUGAGGGACGACGGCCUUCGGGUUGUAAACCUCUUUUAGCAGGGAAGAAGCGAAAGUGACGGUACCUGCAGAAAAAGCACCGGCUAACUACGUGCCAGCCGCCGCGGUAAUAC
rnacentral:rRNA from 1 species